rnacentral:rRNA from 1 species
GUGUGGAACUAAGUAUGCGACAAGUAGGGCGGGACACGAGAAAUCCUGUCUGAAUAUGGGGGGACCAUCCUCCAAGGCUAAAUACUCGUAAUCGACCGAUAGUGAACCAGUACCGUGAGGGAAAGGCGAAAAGAACCCCGGGAGGGGAGUGAAAUAGAUCCUGAAACCGUGUGCAUACAAACAGUAGGAGCGGACUUGUUCCGUGACUGCGUACCUUUUGUAUAAUGGGUCAGCGACUUACAUUCAGUGGCAAGGUUAACCAGAUUGGGGAGCCGUAGAGAAAUCGAGUCCGAACAGGGCGCCAGUCGCUGGGUGUAGACCCGAAACCAAGUGAUCUACCCAUGGCCAGGUUGAAGGUGCGGUAACACGCACUGGAGGACCGAACCCACUAAUGUUGAAAAAUUAGGGGAUGAGCUGUGGGUAGGGGUGAAAGGCUAAACAAACUUGGAAAUAGCUGGUUCUCUCCGAAAACUAUUUAGGUAGUGCCUCAAGUAUCACCAUCGGGGGUAGAGCACUGUUAUGGCUAGGGGGUCAUCGCGACUUACCAAACCAUUGCAAACUCCGAAUACCGAUGAGUGCGAGCUUGGGAGACAGACGUCGGGUGCUAACGUCCGGCGUCAAGAGGGAAACAACCCAGACCGCCAGCUAAGGUCCCAAAGAUUGGCUAAGUGGAAAACGAAGUGGGAAGGCUAAAACAGUCAGGAUGUUGGCUUAGAAGCAGCCAUCAUUUAAAGAAAGCGUAAUAGCUCACUGAUCGAGUCGUCCUGCGCGGAAGAUGUAACGGGGCUAAGCCAGUCACCGAAGCUGCGGAUAUCCGCAAGGAUAUGGUAGGAGAGCGUUCUGUAAGCCUGCGAAGGUGUCUUGUAAAGGAUGCUGGAGGUAUCAGAAGUGCGAAUGCUGACAUGAGUAGCGAUAAUGGGGGUGAAAAGCCCCCACGCCGUAAGCCCAAGGUUUCCUGUUCAACGUUCAUCGGAGCAGGGUGAGUCGGCCCCUAAGGCGAGGCAGAGAUGCGUAGCUGAUGGGAAGCAGGUUAAUAUUCCUGCACCGUCGUAUGAUGCGAUGGGGGGACGGAUCGCGGAAGGUUGUC